rnacentral:rRNA from 1 species
AUGGCCCCGGCCCCGCCCCACUCCAGCCACGGCAGUUUUUUCUACUACUGUGAGUGUGUGUGCAGUCCACCGGCCCCCUCCUCUGCUUCAGAUCCCGUGCAACCUUCCGAUGCAGUUCGUCGCACCAACCCCCUGCAGCUCUCUCCUCCCCAAUCCAUGGACCCCGCGCCGGAUCCGGGUUCUUCCCUCGUGCAUCGUCCUCUUCUCGCACCGAUCCCCGCCAUGGUCGCGCGGAUCCCCGAGAGUUCGAGGUGUGCCACCCCCGCCGUGGUCCUGCCUACUUCCCCUCCUUCCCUGCUACACCAGCAGGGCGUCGGUCACAGGAUCUGCCUCCCCCUAUUUGCAGCUCCUUUGUUUCUUUUUUGCAGCUCGCUAAGUAUAAUUUUGAAGUUCAGUGAGAUCCAUGCGCGCCGGAUCACGCGUUGCCGACCCCCCUGCAUGCCUCCUCGCAUGCGAGGUGCUGUGCUGUGUAGGGAGGUGUCUACACCAGCGUCGGCGCCCGUCCACCAUGUUGUUGCAUUUAAUUGCUUGUCCAGCUCUCUUAUGUCCCCGUCAUCGCCCACAUCGGAGGCUCUGCCAUCGCUGGAUCCCGGCAUCCCCGGGCCCUGCAGGAGGGAUACCGACAUCAACGUCCCCUUCCCUGACCAUCUAGAAGGAGGUGGUCGUCCCUGUCUGUCGCUGCAGUCCGCACGGUGGGCGUCCGCAGCACAUCGCCGACAAAGGUGGAUCCAAGGGGCACCCGUGCAGUCCACUGCGUGGGUGCACGCAGCAUGCCGGCACUCCCCUUUGCAGUCCAUAAUGUGGGUUCAGCCCAUAGCGGCAUGCAGCUCUGCCCAUGGGCAUAUGAAGUACGCUAUGACGAGCAUGUAUACAUGGUUUCGGGAGCAAAACAUCAGCGUGCGAUUCAGUGUUUUUUUGCUGCAGUUCACUACUCAUUCGUACCACUUUACUCUUUUUUUAAUGGGAAUCUUCGGUGCAAUGAAUUAUUCUAUCCGCUAUUUUUGA